UACGUAGGGUGCGAGCGUUAAUCGGAAUUACUGGGCGUAAAGCGUGCGCAGGCGGUUUGCUAAGACCGAUGUGAAAUCCCCGGGCUUAACCUGGGAACUGCAUUGGUGACUGGCAAGCUAGAGUGUGGCAAAGGGGGGUAGAAUUCCACGUGUAGCAGUGAAAUGCGUAGAGAUGUGGAGGAAUACCGAUGGCGAAGGCAGCCCCCUGGGCCAACACUGACGCUCAUGCACGAAAGCGUGGGGAGCAAACAGG
rnacentral:rRNA from 1 species